GGAAUAUUGGUCAAUGGACGAGAGUCUGAACCAGCCAAGUAGCGUGCAGGAUGACGGCCCUAUGGGUUGUAAACUGCUUUUAUGCGGGGAUAAAGUGCGCCACGUGUGGCGUUUUGUAGGUACCGCAUGAAUAAGGACCGGCUAAUUCCGUGCCAGCAGCCGCGGUAAUACGGAAGGUCCGGGCGUUAUCCGGAUUUAUUGGGUUUAAAGGGAGCGCAGGCGGAAGGUUAAGCGUGACGUGAAAUGUACCGGCUCAACCGGUGAUGUGCGUCGCGAACUGGCUUUCUUGAGUGCGUACGAGGAAGGCGGAAUUCGUGGUGUAGCGGUGAAAUGCUUAGAUAUCACGAAGAACUCCGAUUGCGAAGGCAGCCCACAAGGCCUUUACUGACGCUAAAGCUCGAAGGUGCGGGUAUCGAACA
rnacentral:rRNA from 1 species